AGUGAACGCUGGCGGUAGGCCUAACACAUGCAAGUCGAACGGCAGCACAGUAAGAGCUUGCUCUUACGGGUGGCGAGUGGCGGACGGGUGAGGAGUACAUCGGAAUCUACUUUUUCGUGGGGGAUAACGUAGGGAAACUUACGCUAAUACCUCAUACGACCUACGGGUGAAAGCAGGUGAUCUUCGGACCUUGCGCGAUUGAAUGAGCCGAUGUCGGAUUAGCUAGUUGGCGGGGUAAAGGCCCACCAAGGCGACGAUCCGUAGCUGGUCUGAGAGGAUGAUCAGCCACACUGGAACUGAGACACGGUCCAGACUCCUACGGGAGGCAGCAGUGGGGAAUAUUGGACAAUGGGCGCAAGCCUGAUCCAGCCAUACCGCGUGGGUGAAGAAGGCCUUCGGGUUGUAAAGCCCUUUUGUUGGGAAAGAAAAGCAGCAGGUUAAUACCCCGCUGUUCUGACGGUACCCAAAGAAUAAGCACCGGCUAACUUCGUG
rnacentral:rRNA from 1 species